rnacentral:rRNA from 1 species
CGCAAGCCUGAUGGAGCAACACCGCGUGAGUGAAGAAGGGUUUCGGGCUCGUAAAGCUCUGUUGUUUAAAGAAGAACACGUAUGAGAGUAACUGUUCAUACGUUGACGGUAUUUAACCAGAAAGUCACGGCUAACUACGUGCCAGCAGCCGCGGUAAUACGUAGGUGGCAAGCGUUAUCCGGAUUAUUGGGCGUAAGAGAGUGCAGGCGGUUUUCUAAGUCUGAUGUGAAAGCCUUCGGCUUAACCGGAGAAGUGCAUCGGAAACUAGGAUAACUUGAGUGCAGAAGAGGGUAGUGGAACUCCAUGUGUAGCGGUGGAAUGCGUAGAUAUAUGGAAGAACACCAGUGGCGAAGGCGGCUACCUGGUCUGCAACUGACGCUGAGACUCGAAAGCAUGGGUAGCGAACAGGAUUAGAUACCCUGGUAG